rnacentral:rRNA from 1 species
UACGUAGGGUGCAAGCGUUGUCCGGAAUUAUUGGGCGUAAAGAGCUCGUAGGCGGUUUGUUGCGUCGGCUGUGAAAUCCCGAGGCUCAACCUCGGGUCUGCAGUCGAUACGAGCAAACUAGAGUGUUGCAGGGGAGACUGGAAUUCCUGGUGUAGCGGUGAAAUGCGUAGAUAUCGGAAGGAACAUCAGUGGCGAAAGCGACUUCCUGGACCAGUACCGACGUUCAGGCACGAAAGCGUGGGGAGCAAACAGG